GUAGCUUAAACCACUAAAGCAUAACACUGAAAAUGUAAAAAUGGACAACCAAGUCCCUAAACAAAACCACGAACAUUA
rnacentral:tRNA from 1 species